GCACACUUAGGAAAGUUGGUCUAAUCCGCCGCACUCAAGAUGCGGUGCCUUCGGGCGCGUCAGUUCGAAUCUGACAGUGUGCA
rnacentral:tRNA from 1 species